rnacentral:rRNA from 1 species
GAUGAACGCUGGCGGCGUGCCUAAUACAUGCAAGUCGAGCGAACGGACGAGAAGCUCGCUUCUCUGAUGUUAGCGGCGGACGGGUGAGUAACACGUGGAUAACCUACCUAUAAGACUGGGAUAACUUCGGGAAACCGGAGCUAAUACCGGAUAAUAUUUUGAACCGCAUGGUUCAAAAGUGAAAGAGGGUCUUGCUGUCACUUAUAGAUGGAUCCGCGCUGCAUUAGCUAGUUGGUAAGGUAACGGCUUACCAAGGCAACGAUGCAUAGCCGACCUGAGAGGGUGAUCGGCCACACUGGAACUGAGACACGGUCCAGACUCCUACGGGAGGCAGCAGUAGGGAAUCUUCCGCAAUGGGCGAAAGCCUGACGGAGCAACGCCGCGUGAGUGAUGAAGGUCUUCGGAUCGUAAAACUCUGUUAUUAGGGAAGAACAUAUGUGUAAGUAACUGUGCACAUCUUGACGUUACCUAAUCAGAAAGCCACGGCUAACUACGUG